GGCAUCUGAUCAGCCACAGUGAAAACAGAUGGGCCAUUGGCCUGAUCCAGCAGGCCCUUCCUAUGUUCUUGUCAACAUUAAGAUGAAAUCUUUAAAAGGUUGGUGUUUACUACUCUGGAUGCUUUAUAAUAAACCUUAUAAAGCCUAUUCUCAACCCUUUGUAAUGACUCUUCCUGAGCUGAGAUGCCCUGUAAUCAAGGCCAAGUUUGCCUUUGGGUGUGUGAAAAUGCAAGCAAUGUAGAGAGGUGUAUGUUUUCCAGAGAUGUGCAUUCUGCAGAUUUUCACACUUCUGACUGUGCAUUUCCUUUCUCUGAAUAUUGUGGUCUCUUGUUAGGCUUCCCACAUUUGCAUUUGUAGGUAUCUGUAGAUGUAUGCAGCCAACCAUGGCUUCACAGAGUAAUAUGAUAAGGGCCCAAAGAUGCAAAUCCCCAGUUUUCAAUUGAGGCAUGCCUAAGCUUCAGCAAAAAUUUUAGCACCAUUCCUAUGAUUAAUUCUCUCUCCCACCAUUUCCUGUGGCAUAGCAGAGGAAACAGUCACUGCAGCCACUUGUUUGGGCAUCUGGCUUGGCUUCUUUGUAGGAGCUAAAAGGUGUAGGAGAAGCAAUAUUUAUUCCUCCUGCCCAUGCCAUUUCCUUGAAACAAUCUGUGCCCAGUGACCUUAAAAACUCAUGCUUGGGUGACUAACUAGAAAUACCUAAUGCAAGGCAGGGGCUGUUCUGGGCAGAUUUGCACAAAUACUAUGUUUGUACCACAUUUGUGAUGGUGCACACUACACAAACAGGGCUCCUCCAGUCCAGAUGACCAUUCAUUCUGAUUCGCUUACACAGUGAUUAGACUAUGUCCAGUCUUUAUUGAGCAUUCAUUCUGAUUUUGUAGGUGGUAGUUACAGGACAAUGAAUAUUCAUCCUAGUUUGCUUGCAGGUGUUUACACGUGUUCCCACUGAUUAUUUGUUUCCCCCACACUUUUCAGUAUUUGCACAUUAUUUUCCUAAUAGCAAAAGUCAUUAAAAGUCAUCAUCUGAGGCCCUCCUUCAUGUGCUUCCUCUGAGAGAGAUCUAGAGGACGGCAAUAAGAGAACGGGCCUUUUCUGCAGUGGCACCCUGUUUGUGGAAUGCUCUCCCCAGGGAGGUUCACCUUUAGGCACCAUGCAAAAACAUUCCGCUCCUCCCAGGUCUUUGGCUAAUUAAACAAUCUAUGACCUUUUACACUAUGGGGGACGUUAUUUUUGUUUGUUAUUAUGGUAUGUAUUUUGUGUGUUUUUUAUAGUAACAAAUCUUUGGAUGAAAGGCAGCAUAGAAAUUUAAUAAAUAAUAAUAAGAAUAUUAAGAAAUGGAUUUGUUGCAUUAGGAAUGCAGAGCAUUGAAUCCAGUUUAAUUGUACAAGCUUAAAUUUCCAGUAUGCACUUGAAUCUAAUAAUAAUAAUGAGAGUCAUAUGUAAAACAUUUAUUUCUGCUCUCCACUGUUUCCCAGCUACAAACAGGGACACACUUCUGUGCUUUACCUAACACAUAAUAUUUUCCCCUAUCCCCCUUCAGCCCCAUCAAGGCACUUUAUUUUUAGGGCUACAGUGCUUAGUAUAUUACUGUAAUUUGUUAGACUAAAAGCAUCUUUCCUCAAUUAAUCAAGUAGAAAUUGCCCUGAUUCAGCGCGCGUGCAUAUGUGUCUGUGUUAUGAAAACCUAAUAAACUACCACAGAAAUUCCAGAGGAUUACCAACAAUCCAGAAUUAAAUACAUUAUGAAUCAAGGUUUUCAAAUCACCACACACACACACACAAACACACACACACACACACACACACACACACACCCAGAGAGAGAGAGAGAGAGAGAGAGAGAGAGAGAGAGGGUUUUAGCCAACUAAAUGUUACUCAGAGUAGAUCCACUGAAAUUAGUGGAACUAAAUUACUCGUGUUCAUUAAUUUCAAUGGGUAAAUUCUGAGGAGGACUAACAUUGGAUAUAAGCUAGCUAGCUAGGAAAACUGAAGAUAAUAAGCAUCAUUUUCUCUUUUGUCUUAUAUAGGAAGGAAUGUGCCUUUUGAGAUUAUGCCUGCUAUAACUCACACAUGCAUCAUUUUAAAACAAAGAAUGCAUGUUUUUGGCAUCAUACAUAUAUUUGUUUCCUUAUGCGAGUUUAAUUGACUACAGCUCAUACAGUCAAAUGAUUAAAUGUCUUUAAUGUUCUCUACCUGUUGUAUUUACAGUAUAUUUUGCUGCCAUUGUGCUGUCCUUACCUGUGUACUCCACUUUCAGUGGAGAGGCAUCACCAGCUUCUGGGGGAUCUCAUUCUACCUAGCUGCUGCCAGGAGGGUCACUGCUGCUGAGUUGGAAAGGGAACUGGAGGUGCAAAUGAGUGCUGGAAGAUAAAGCGGGGGGACACACAGAUGAUCCUGGGAGGUUUUCCAAGCACAAAAACAAGAAACUUAGUUGAUUUCAACAAGAGAGGAGGGGUUUGAAGGUGAGUAGCUUUCCUUGGAUUUUCAGUUGUGUGUGGUUUUUUGGAAGCCAAUCAAAAGAUGUUCUGUAAGACUCUCUCUCUCUCUCUCUCUCUCUCUCUAUAUAUAUAUAUAUAAUAGAAAUAGGUGAAGGCAAGACAUUUGCACAUUCCAGAGGUCCAAGGUUUCUGAACAGCAGGUGUGGUGAGCCACUCCCUUGUUCAUGACAAUGAAGAGAUUGUGGUGGGUAGUGUUCUCCCAUUGGAUUUUGUCCUCUGAUGUCAAGUCUCUGCAUAAAUGCUAUGCUUGUUUACAAGCAAAACAAAAUGGAAACUGUAUGAGCCAAGGUAGCAGGGCAAUACCUGGCAACACCUGUUUACAGACAGACCUUAAAAUUUCAUGGAAAUGUUGCCCUUUAAGAUUGGCUCUUCCAACGCACAUUUGAGAGUGUCUUGAUAGUUUUGCUUUCAUAUGGCAUCACUUGCAACUUUAGAGCAUCACAGAAAAAGCUAGCAAGUGAAGAGAAAACAAGGCACUUGGGUCUGUCAUUCCCCCCUCCCUAUUUUUUUGUAACAUUGGCAAGAAUGAUGGAACAAUCUGGUCCACCACAUGGUUCAGGAGAAGAUUUUCUCUCUCUUGUUCAAAGGCAGUGUUCACAUUUGUAAAUCUGGGUACAAGCUCCAGGCUGUUGUAGUGUUGUUUAUCUGAAAAUGUUGGGAAGAACUACAUGUUUUAUUCAACUAACCAUAAUAAUACACUGUAACACAGCUAUGUGAUUCUAAAAGAGAAUUGCAGUUCAUGGGUGCUGAUAUAUCUGCCUUCAUGUAGUCAUAUCACAAAUGACAAUAUGAGUUGUUUUAGCAAAAUAUAUAUGGUGACUACUUCUGAAGUUUAGAAAUUUGGACUGAAUGUUGUUUGUUUGUUUUUAAAGGGAAUUUGCAGCAGCAUUUGGCAGAUCGCAAGAAAACUCAACCUAGAACUCAAAACAAUCAUGGGUGUAGGUCAUGGGACUUUGGGACACAAGUAUCACAGGUGAAGAUAACCAGCAAGCAAAGUAAACCAUGAGCAGCAAGCCCAAAAUAAACCUUGGUUUCUGCUCAUUGUUUGGUGAGAAACAAACCAUAAGCACUGGUUCAGAUAUAAUGGUAAGCAAGCCUAUGAGUUGCUUGUCCUACCUUUUUCUCCAAGGAGCUCAAGGGGGUAUACAUGGUUCUCCUUCUCCUCAUUUAAGCUUCACAACAACCCUGUUAGGCUGAGAGGCAGUGACUGGCACAAGCUCAGCUUUAUGGCUGAGUAGGGAUUUUAACCCUGGUCUCCCAAGUCAUAGUCUAGCAUUCUAACCACUACACCACACUAGCUUUCACUGUGUCAGAAUCUGGGGAGAAGCAUAGGAGCCAGCAUUGGCCCCCACAAUAAAAUAUUUGAGGCUGGGCCCCCACACAGUUGAUGGGCAUUCCCAUUCAAAUGGUGUGUGUGCACUGUGCCAUGUGAUCAGUUAUGCUGGGCGGGGCUUAUCUGGGCCCCCACAAUAUUUUAUUCAAGUUGGCACCCCUGGGAGGAAGUGAACCUGGCACUAGUCAUAAGCAGCGCACACACCCCCCCCCCACUGCUCAUUCUCUAAAUAUUUCCCAGCCUUAUGUUACAGGGAAGACCUCAAAAGCAGUUAAUCCUAAAGCAACAACAUUUCCCCAUAUUUUCCAUGAUGAAUUACUGUCCAUUGGCGCAUAUAUUGGUCUGUAUUCAAGUAACUAAUCUCUCUUGUGGC